rnacentral:rRNA from 1 species
CCUACGGGUGGCCGCCGUGGGGAAUAUUGCACAAUGGUGGAAACCCUGAUGCAGCGACGCCGCGGGAGUGAGGAAGUAUUUCGGUAUGUAACGCUCUAUCAGCAGGGAAGACAAUGACGGUACCUGACUAAGUAGCCCCGGCUAAAUACGUGCCCGCAGCCGCGGUAAUACGUAGAGGGCAAGCGUUAGCCGGAUUUACUGGGUGAAAAGGGAGCGUAGACGGGUAAUCAAGUCAGAGGUGAAAACCCAGGGCUCAACCUUGGGACUGCUUUUGAAACUGAGUAGCUAGAGUGCAGGAGAGGUGAGCGGAAUUCCUAGUGUAGCGGUGAAAUGCGUAGAUAUGAGGAGGAACACCAGUGGCGAAGGCGGCUUACUGGACUGUAACUGACGUUGAGGCUCGAAAGCGUGGGGAGCAAACAGGAUUAGAUAACCUUGUAGUC